rnacentral:rRNA from 1 species
GUACGGGAGGCAGCAGUGGGGAAUAUUGGACAAUGGGGGCAACCCUGAUCCAGCAAUGCCGCGUGAGUGAAGAAGGCCUUAGGGUUGUAAAGCUCUUUCGCCCGUGACGAUGAUGACGGUAACGGGAGAAGAAGCCCCGGCUAAUUCCGUGCCAGCAGCCGCGGUAAUACGGAAGGGGCUAGCGUUGUUCGGAUUUACUGGGCGUAAAGCGCAUGUAGGCGGCGGAUCAAGUGGGGCGUGAAAGGCCUGGGCUCAACCUGGGAACGGCGCUUCAGACUGGUUUGCUCGAGUUCGGGAGAGGGUGGUGGAAUUCCCAGUGUAGAGGUGAAAUUCGUAGAUAUUGGGAGGAACACCGGUGGCGAAGGCGGCCACCUGGCCCGAGACUGACGCUCAAGUGCGAAAGCGUGGGGAGCAAACAGGAUUAGAUACCCGUGUAGUCCG